UACGGGGGGGGGCAAGCGUUGUUCGGAAUUACUGGGCGUAAAGGGCCAGUAGGCGGCCAACUAAGUCCGACGUGAAAUCCCAAGGCUUAACCUUGGAACUGCGUCCGAUACUGGAAGGCUUGAAUCCGGGAGAGGGAUGCGGAAUUCCAGGUGUAGCGGUGAAAUGCGUAGAUAUCUGGAGGAACACCGGUGGCGAAGGCGGCAUCCUGGACCGGUAUUGACGCUGAGGCGCGAAAGCCAGGGGAGCAAAGCGGG
rnacentral:rRNA from 1 species